GACGAACGCUGGCGGCGUGCUUAACACAUGCAAGUCGAACGAUGAAGCCCAGCUUGCUGGGUGGAUUAGUGGCGAACGGGUGAGUAACACGUGAGUAACCUGCCCUGGACUCUGGGAUAAGCGUUGGAAACGACGUCUAAUACCGGAUAGGACCCUGUACCGCAUGGUGUGGGGUGGAAAGUUUUUCGGUUUGGGAUGGACUCGCGGCCUAUCAGCUUGUUGGUGAGGUAAUGGCUCACCAAGGCGUCGACGGGUAGCCGGCCUGAGAGGGUGACCGGCCACACUGGGACUGAGACACGGCCCAGACUCCUGCGGGAGGCAGCAGUGGGGAAUAUUGCACAAGGGGCGCAAGCCUGAUGCAGCAACGCCGCGUGCGGGAUGACGGCCUUCGGGUUGUAAACCGCUUUUAGUAGGGAAGAAGCCUUCGGGUGACGGUACCUGCAGAAAAAGGACCGGCUAACUACGUGCCAGCCGCCGCUGUAACAC
rnacentral:rRNA from 1 species